CUAGCAUAUCAAUAAGCGGAGGAAAAGAAACCAACAGGGAUUGCCUUAGUAACGGCGAGUGAAGCGGCAAUAGCUCAAAUUUGAAAUCUGGCUCUUUUAGAGUCCGAGUUGUAAUUUGCAGAGGGCGCUUUGGCAUUGGCAGCGGUCCAAGUUCCUUGGAACAGGACGUCACAGAGGGUGAGAAUCCCGUACGUGGUCGCUAGCCUUUGCCGUGUAAAGCCCCUUCGACGAGUCGAGUUGUUUGGGAAUGCAGCUCUAAAUGGGAGGUAAAUUUCUUCUAAAGCUAAAUACUGGCCAGAGACCGAUAGCGCACAAGUAGAGUGAUCGAAAGAUGAAAAGCACUUUGGAAAGAGAGUCAAAUAGCACGUGAAAUUGUUGAAAGGGAAGCGCUUGCAGCCAGACUUGCCUGUAGUUGCUUAUCUGGACUUUUGUCCAGUGCACUCUUCUGCGGGCAGGCCAGCAUCAGUUUGGGCGGUUGGAUAAAGGUCUCUGUCAUGUACCUCUCUUCGGGGAGGCCUUAUAGGGGAGACGACAUGCAACCAGCCUGGACUGAGGUCCGCGCAUCUGCUAGGAUGCUGGCGUAAUGGCUGUAAGCGGCCCGUCUUGAAACACGGACCAAGGAGUCUAACAUCUAUGCGAGUGUUUGGGUGUCAAGCCCAGACGCGUAAUGAAAGUGAACGGAGGUGGGAACCCUUUGGGUGCACCAUCGACCGAUCCUGAUGUCUUCGGAAGGAUUUGAGUAAGAGCAUGGCUGUUGGGACCCGAAAGAUGGUGAACUAUGCUUGAAUAGGGUGAAGCCAGAGGAAACUCUGGUGGAGGCUCGCAGCGGUUCUGACGUGCAAAUCGAUCGUCAAAUUUGGGCAUAGGGGCGAAAGACUAAUCGAACUAUCUAGUAGCUGGUUCCUGCCGAUUUCCCCCUC
rnacentral:rRNA from 1 species